rnacentral:rRNA from 1 species
UACAGAGGGUGCGAGCGUUGUUCGGAAUUACUGGGCGUAAAGGGCCAGUAGGCGGCCAACUAAGUCCGACGUGAAAUCCCCAGGCUUAACCUGGGAACUGCGUCGGAUACUGGAUGGCUUGAAUUCGGGAGAGGGAUGCAGAAUUCCAGGUGUAGCGGUGAAAUGCGUAGAUAUCUGGAGGAAUACCGGUGGCGAAGGCGGCAUCCUGGACCGACAUUGACGCUGAAUGGCGAAAGCUAGGGGAGCAAACGGG